GAUGAACGCUGGCGGCGUGCCUAAUACAUGCAAGUCGAGCGAACGGACGAGAAGCUUUCUUCUCUGAUGUUAGCGGCGGACGGGUGAUUAACACGUGGAUAACCUACCUAUAAGACUGGGAUAACUUCGGGAAACCGGAGCUAAUACCGGAUAAUAUUUUGAACCGCAUGGUUCAAAAGUGAAAGACGGUCUUGCUGUCACUAAUAGAUGGAUCCGCGCUGCAUUAGCUAGUUGGUAAGGUAACGGCUUACCAAGGCAACGAUGCAUAGACGACCUGAGAGGGUGAUCGGCCACACUGGAACUGAGACACGGUCCAGACUCCUACGGGAGGCAGCAGUCGGGAAUCUUCCGCAAUGGGCGAAAGCGUGACGGAGCAACGCCGCGUGAGUGAUGAAGGUGUUCGGAUCGUAAAACUCUGUUAUUAGGGAAGAACAUAUGUGUAAGUAACUGUGAACAUCUUGACGGUACCUGAUCAGAAAGCCACGGCUAACUACGUG
rnacentral:rRNA from 1 species